rnacentral:lncRNA from 10 species
GUUUUUAUUCCCUUCUAGUCUAAAUGUAUCCAUAAGUUUUUAGGAGUUUCACUACCUGACUUUUUGACAAUGCCUUGAUUGUGAAAGAUAUAAAAAUGUCAAAAAUUCUGUAGGCCAUAUUAUGCCCAGGAUAUUAUUUUUCAAUAGGCUCCAAAGACAGAUGUCUAUGAACAAUUAAACCAUGCUUCAACCACACCUUGUUCCAGCUGGGAUCAGAGAAUUAAAAGGAAAUAAGCCCUCAUAAUUUACUUAUUGCUGAAGUUCCUAUAGUUUCCUGACUGUUAAUGGAUUCUUAUUAAAUAAUUCUAUCAAUGAAAAACAUUUCAUUAUAUUGUAUGUAUACUAUACAUUGUUUGAAAUUAUGAAUUUGGCUCUUUGAUAUUAAAUUGAGUAUUUCUUCUCUUAUAUAUGCUGAACAACUAUAUUCAGAAAAAUCCCGUUUGAUGGAGAUUGGGUUACUUCAAGCUGGUGAAAUCCCAAGUCAAGUUUUAGAGAGUUUAGUCAUAAAGUACGAUACUGAAACAAUCUGUACUGAUAAGAAAAGUGAGACCUGCUAAUCAACAUGGAUGUAACCCAAUAUCUUGUCUAAUAGGAAAGCGUAGAAUGUACUCUCUCCUUUCAACUGAAAAUGUCCCAAAUAAGAUGUUAUCUUCUUCCAAUCAGCUUUCAUCAUUACUGUCACCAUAGCAACUAAAUAGCUCUGAGAUGCAACCUAAACAAGGGACCAAAUAAGAUGAGCUGAUGAGCCACUGCAUUAUCAGUGUUCAUAAGAUAGUAAUUCAAAAAUGCUCAUCAUACCCACAAAGGAAAAGCAUUUCUUCUCUCUUUUCCUAACGAAAGUAUGGUUAAUAAAAGUAUUUCACCAUAUUCUAGGCUUUAUGGAUUAAAUAGCUUAAGAAGUGGGAAGAUGUAAUCUGAAGGGACCAUGUACUCAGCACAGUCCCAGGACUCACUUCACAGUGGCAAUCUGCUGGCUUGCAAAGUAAUAUACAACUGAAGAUGAGACUUAUUGAUUGAUUGGUUUAAUUUUAUUAAAUGACACUAAAGAAAUGUGGGUUGCUUUUCUGUUGUUAACAACGUAUGUAAUUAGGAGAAUACCAUAUAUGAGAGUGUAAAGUAGGACAGAUUUGGAGUACUCAGGAAAAUGAGUUCUAUAAAUAAUAAACCCUUGAGCCACUGAAGCUUUUCACAUUCUUUAAAGAACACCAUAUUCUGUAAGAUGUUUUCAAAAUUUUCUAAUUUAUUCUUAUUUAGAGAGCAAUACUGUUCUGGGUAUCUAUAUACUUUAGGUGUAUAUCUAAGGAGAAAGAUCAGUAAUAAGAACAAAAUUAAUAGUUAAUAGGCCUUUCACACCUUAUAAUGUGCGACUUUACAUGUACUAUGACAUUUAAUUCAUACUAUAGUUAUCUCCAAUUUAGAGAUGAGUAGGUCAAUUCAUGGAGACGAUAAGUAACUUUCCCAGUUUAGAAAGGGGCAGAGCUAGGAUUUGAACAUGGGCACUCUUAACUCUGAAGCCUGCUCUCAACCAAUAAGUACUAUGCAAACAUUUUUGUGCCAGGCUCAGAAGACCCAAUAGCAUGGCCAAAAAUACACAAUAAUGUACAGUCGUCUACUGCAUAAGGACAUUUCAGUCAGUGACAGGCGACAUAUACAACUGUGAUCCCCGUUAGAUUGUAAUGGAGCUGAAGAUUUCCUAUUGUCCAGUGUUGUCACAGCAGUCCUAAUGUCGUAGUACAAUGCAUCAUUCACAUGAUUGUGGUGAUGCUCUUGUAAACAAACCUACUGCACUGCCAGUCAUAUAAUAGUAUAGCACAUACAAUUAUAUAUAGUGCAUACUAUUUGAUAUUAAUAAUAAAUGACUGUUAUUAGUUUAUCUGUCUACUAUAUUAUACUUUUUAGUGUUAUUUUAGAAUAUACUCCAUCUACUUAUUACAAAUAAGUUAACUGUAAAACAUCCUCAGGCAGAUUCUUCAGGAGGUGUUCCAGAAGAGGUCAUUGUUAUCAUAGGAGAUGACAGCUCCAUGCAUGUUACUGCCCUUGAAAACUUUCCAGUGGGACAAGAUGUGGAGACGGUAAACAGAGACAUUGAUGAUUCUGAUUCUGAAAACCUACUGAUGGAGCGAAGAUUGCAGGCUGGAUCAUUUCAAAGUGCCUUGGUCAAAGGACUUGCCCAGGAGGCAACUUAAAGCCACUGAACUUUUGGUGAUGAGCACCAGCCAUAAAUCAAAGAAGUAGAUCCCCAGGGUAAGUCUUAGGAUGAGUGGCAGAGAAGCAAACAGGCUGACAGCAGCUUCAUGCCAGCUUUGCACACCGUGUGGCAAGAAGAAAAAACCUUCAGAGUCAGGGAUCUGUCACAGGGGCAUCUCCAACAGGCAGAUAACAAGUCAUUCGCUGUGGAUGACUGGGGACAAGUGGUAUCAGAAGCACUACAGACCCUAUAAAAACAAGAGAUUCCAAGUCUGGUGGAAAAUCAGAGAAACAGAAAUGGUGAUUCUAGUUAUAUGUUGUAUUUAUGUUACUAUGAAAUUAUAAAGGGAAAUUAUGUAGAAAGUUGAAUUGCUUCUCUACAAAAUUCCACAAAAUUCUAAACACAUUCCCUAGCACUUAACAACCAACACUUUUUUCUCUCUUUACAAUCAAC